rnacentral:rRNA from 1 species
GACGAACGCUGGCGGCGUGCUUAACACAUGCAAGUCGAACGGAAAGGCCCUGCUUUUGUGGGGUGCUCGAGUGGCGAACGGGUGAGUAACACGUGAGUAACCUGCCCUUGACUUUGGGAUAACUUCAGGAAACUGGGGCUAAUACCGGAUAGGAGCUCCUGCUGCAUGGUGGGGGUUGGAAAGUUUCGGCGGUUGGGGAUGGACUCGCGGCUUAUCAGCUUGUUGGUGGGGUAGUGGCUUACCAAGGCUUUGACGGGAAGCCGGCCUGAGAGGGUGACCGGCCACAUUGGGACUGAGAUACGGCCCAGACUCCUACGGGAGGCAGCAGUGGGGAAUAUUGCACAAUGGGCGGAAGCCUGAUGCAGCAACGCCGCGUGCGGGAUGACGGCCUUCGGGUUGUAAACCGCUUUCGCCUGUGACGAAGCGUGAGUGACGGAAAUGGGUAAAGAAGCACCGGCUAACUACGUG